UUCAGCCACAACCUCUCGGCCAAGUCAUCCACGCUCUUCUUCGGGAAUGCGUUCAUCGUGUCCACCAUCCCCAUCUGGUUAUAUUGGCGAAUAUGGCAUAUGGAUCUUAUUCAGUCUGCUGUUCUUUAUAGCGUGAUGACCCUAGUAAGCACAUAUCUGGUAGCCUUUGCGUACAAGAAUGUAAAAUUUGUUCUCAAGCUCAAAGUGGCACAGAAAAGGGAGGAUGCUGUUUCCAAAGAAGUCACUUGAAAACUUUCUGAAGCUGAUAAUAGAUGUCUUGGAAGGAGAAAGAUGAAAGAAUCUUGUGGAAGAAGAAUGAAGUUGCUGACUAUGAAGCGACAACAUUUUCCAUCUUCUAUAACAACACUCUGUUCCUGGUCUUGGUCAUUGUGGCUUCCUUCUUUAUAUUGAAGAACUUCAAUCCUACAGUGAACUACAUUUUGUCCAUAAGUACUUCAUCAGGACUCAUCGCCCUCCUGUCUACUGGCUCCAAGUAGAUAGACCAUUAGACCAUGGCAGCUUCCCCUGGCUUACAUUGAUGGGUGGCCUGUGGUGUAUGGGCAGGCAGCAGGGUGGUCAGAGUGGAAGAUACAAGAUGUUUUUAUAGUCUGGAGCUUGAGGGUUUAAAAAAUCAACAGAAUGUAAUUCAGCAUUUGUUUAUUGGCUCUUUUUGACAGAUUGUUGAAAUUAAAUGAAUUGAAAAGGAAAAAA